GCAUCCUGCUCUGCUGGCUGCCUCUCUCCGCUCACUGCAGUGGUUCAGGCUUCAGCAGCCUUGGAAGAGCAUCAGCUGAGAGGAGCUAUCACAUAGGAGCUGGGAGAUGCUCAGCAAAAGAUGCCUUCUUGAGGAAACUGGAGUCCAGAAGAAGUUGCAGAGUGAGUAAUGCCCAGACCUGGAACUAGAAGCUGAAUCUUAUUCUCCUACUCCCCAUUCUGAUGAAAACUCAGAAAGUUCACACAAGCUACCCUAAAGCCAGGGCACUGUCCUAGAGCUCAGCGGGACCCUGGAGAAGGGAGACAAAGGAUUUAGAAUUGCCCUCAAAAGGGAAGAAAAGCAUGGAGAACUAGAAAAGGAAGUGGGAAGAGAGGUGCCAGAGACCACUUGCAAGGUGGCACACAGCAAGUAUGUGAGGAUCAGUCUCUUGCCUGUCGGCUGGCUGCUACCAUCACCGGGGCUGACCCUGGGGCUACCUCCCGACAGAAACUGGACAUGAGCUCCUGAGUUCAGAGCUGCCUGGCCUGGCACCGGCACAGAGGAGCCCAGCUUGGAAGGCUGGUGAUCCUGUGGAAGGCCCCCCACGAAAUCGGGAAGCCUAGGCCUGGGCUUUACAUCCCAGGGCUGUGGAGUAGGAUGGGGGAUGGGCCUGUAACAGGAAGUGCCCUGGGUGUCCUCUUUCGGCCCCAUGGAGUCCUCACCCAUUCCCCAGUCAUCAGGAAACCUGUCUACUUUGGGAAGAGCCCUUCAAACCCCAGGUCCCUCUACUGCCAGCGGGGUCCCAGAGCUGGGACUUCAGGACGUGGCUUCCGAAUCUGUGGCCCUCUUCUUCAUGCUGCUGUUGGACCUUACUGCCGUGGCUGGCAAUGCGGCUGUGAUGGCUGUUAUCGCCAAAACACCUGCCCUCCGAAAAUUUGUCUUUGUCUUCCAUCUCUGUCUGGUGGACCUGCUGGCGGCUCUGACCCUCAUGCCCUUGGCCAUGCUGUCCAGCUCCGCCCUCUUUGACCACGCGCUCUUCGGGGAGGUGGCCUGCCGCCUCUACUUGUUCCUGAGCGUUUGCUUUGUUAGCCUGGCCAUCCUUUCGGUGUCGGCCAUCAACGUGGAACGCUACUAUUAUGUGGUCCACCCCAUGCGCUACGAGGUACGCAUGACAUUGGGCCUGGUGGCCUCCGUGCUGGUGGGCGUGUGGAUAAAGGCCCUGGCCAUGGCUUCUGUGCCGGUGUUGGGAAGGGUCUCCUGGGAGGAAGGAGCCCCCAGUGUUAACCCAGGCUGUUCUCUCCAAUGGAGCCAUAGUGCCUACUGCCAGCUUUUUGUGGUGGUCUUUGCUGUCCUUUACUUCUUGCUGCCCUUGAUCCUGAUCUUCGUGGUCUACUGCAGCAUGUUCCGAGUGGCUCGUGUGGCCGCCAUGCAACACGGGCCGCUGCCCACGUGGAUGGAGACGCCCCGGCAACGCUCCGAGUCUCUCAGUAGCCGGUCCACUAUGGUCACCAGCUCCGGGGCUCACCAGACUACUCCACAUCGGACGUUUGGGGGUGGGAAGGCAGCAGUGGUCCUCCUGGCCGUAGGGGGGCAGUUCCUGCUCUGUUGGUUACCCUACUUCUCUUUCCAUCUCUACGUGGCCCUGAGCGCUCAGCCCAUUUCAACGGGACAGGUGGAGAAUGUGGUGACCUGGAUUGGCUACUUCUGCUUCACGUCCAAUCCUUUUUUCUAUGGAUGUCUCAACCGUCAGAUCCGGGGCGAGCUUAGCAAACAGUUCGUCUGCUUCUUCAAGGCAGCUCCGGAGGAGGAGCUGAGGCUGCCUAGCCGGGAGGGCUCUAUUGAGGAGAAUUUCCUGCAGUUCCUCCAGGGGACUUCUGAGAACUGGGUGUCCAGGCCCCUCCCCAGCCCCAAGCAGGAGCCACCGCCUGCUGUUGACUUUCGAAUCCCAGGCCAGAUUGCUGAGGAGACCUCGGAGUUCCUGGAGCAGCAACUCACCAGCGACAUCAUCAUGUCCGACAGCUACCUCCGUCCUGCCGCCUCACAGAAGGGGGAGUCAUGAUGGACACUUGGAGGGAAAUAAGGCUUGGGGCUGGUUUAUGACCUUAAAGACUGUCUUUUCCAGCUGCUGGGGUUUGGGCUGGGGUCUCUGGACUUAGCUUUUGCUUGGUGUUUCCUGGGUCAGGACCAGAGUCAACAGGAUGGACAUGUGGCAAAAGCCUUGGACUUGGCUAUGAUCUUUGACUAUUGGGGGAGGGGAACCUGGGUAUGGUGAGACGAUGAUGAGAGAAAAGGGUCACAAAGGACUGGCCUCCCCGAUCUCUCUCCUCAUGGCAGUGACCCACUUCCAGCCCCCUGGACAAUCGGGUACAGGAAGGAGACUAAGGUGCUGGAGAAUCUGGUAAAAGUA